rnacentral:rRNA from 1 species
GACGAACGCUGGAGGCGUGCUUAACGCAUGCAAGUCGAACGAUGAAAUGGAGCUUGCUCCAUGGAUUAGUGGCGAACGGGUGAGUAACACGUGAAUAACCUGCCCUUAAUUUUGGAAUAACCCAGGGAAACCUGGGCUAAUACCGGAUAAGUAAACCUGUGGCAUCACAUGGUUUUGGAAAGUUUUUCGAUUAAGGAUGGAUUCGCGGCCUAUCAGCUUGUUGGUGAGGUAAUGGCUCACCAAGGCGACGACGGGUAGCCGGCCUGAGAGGGUGAACGGCCACACUGGGACUGAGACACGGCCCGGACUCCUACGGGAGGCAACAGUGGGGAAUAUUGCGCAAUGGACGAAAGUCUGACGCAGCGACGCCUCGUGAGGGACGAAGGUCUUCGGAUUGUAAACCUCUUUCAGCAGGGACGAAGCGAAAGUGACGGUACCUGCAGAAGAAGCACCGGCUAACUAUGUGCCAGCCGCCGCCGUAA